rnacentral:rRNA from 1 species
ACUCCUACGGGAGGCAGCAGUGAGGAAUAUUGGUCAAUGGACGCAAGUCUGAACCAGCCAUGUCGCGUGCAGGAAGACUGCCCCUAUGGGUUGUAAACUGCUUUUUAUACGGGAAGAAAUAUAGCUACGUGUAGUUAUUUGCCGGUACCGUAUGAAUAAGCAUCGGCUAACUCCGUGCCAGCAGCCGCGGUAAUACGGAGGAUGCGAGCGUUAUCCGGAUUCAUUGGUUUAAAGGGUGCGUAGGCGGAAGUAUAAGUCAGGGUGAAAGUUUGUGGCUCAACCAUAAAAUUGCCUUUGAUACUGUAUUUCUUGAGUACAUUUGAGGUAGGCGGAAUGUGUUGUGUAGCGGUGAAAUGCUUAGAUAUAACACAG